UUUGCAGAAACUUGGUGAAGGUGUGAAAGGUGUAUAUGUCUCAAUAGAUGUGGAUUGUCUUGAUCCUGCUUUUGCUCCUGGAGUGUCUCACAUCGAACCGGGAGGUCUCUCUUUCCGCGAUGUUCUCAACAUCCUACACAACCUUCAAGGCGACAUUGUUGCCGCAGACGUGGUUGAAUUCAAUCCGCAACGUGAUACAGUUGACGGUAUGACUGCCAUGGUAGCCGCAAAGUUGGUGAGAGAACUGACUGCCAAGAUUGCAAAAUGAUUAAAUCUGCAAUGCAAUCCUCAUUCCUUUAAAUAGCUUCUAAGAGUGACAUUGAAUUUUCGGUUAGUUUCAUUGAAAUCAUUCAUAAAAGGGUUUACAUGUCCUUGUGCUUUAACUAUGAAAAAAUGUGUGCAACACACAAUACAUGUAGUUAGUUCUGUGCAGAACAUGUAUGUAAUAAAUAGAUUGCUACUUCUUUAUUGUUAGCAUAUUUCAAACAUAUUUAUAUUUCUGAGUUUAAAUGUUUGAAAAACUAUAGAAUAUCAAUGUUGUGAGACCUUAUGUUUCUGUAGUCAAUCUUAAAUGAAGAAGCUUCUUAAGUUAAAGUGGAGAAGUUAAUUCCUUAAACAUUUUCAAAUGUGCAAAUUAACUAUGUUAAACAAUGUUUCCGUCAAUUAACAAGAAUUAGUUCAAAGUGCUAAAAUAGGCAUAUUGGUAUGUUGCAUUUUUCUUCUUACAUUUUUGCCUCUACAAUGAAAGAAACUAGUAAACAAUGCUGAAGUCUCAUGGCACAUUGCUAUAUUUUCUUGCCUAACUAACUCACAUGUUAUUCAACCAAUAACUUAAAAGAAAAUUUGUUACUCUAAUCUCAACCUAAAUAACAACUUCCUCAUUGUUUGCUUCUCUUUUCUACCAUGCUGUUUCCUUAUAUUUUCUAGCAGAUAUAAUAUAUACAAUCAAGUUAAUGGACGUGAAAAAACAAAGCACACAAGAAGAAAAACAUGUCCAAAUGACCCUCAUUUAGAUUUGGUGAAAUCCAACCAGGUUGUCCAGAUUCUGAAGUAAUCUUCAUUACUAUUGUCAAAACAAUGUUGGCAACAUUACUACCAACUGCCGAAGAAGGAUCAACAACCCUAUCCCUAUACUUUGAAAUCCAUCAGGUGUUUGUGAUGAGAAAAACUCCAUUUGUGCAACAUAUACAAAAGCCUAUGCGACUCCAAUGAGCACAUAUUGCGGUGUUUGCCAAAAUAUACUCAAAGAACUUGUCUCUUCACUAUUGCUUUGACUAGCAAGUUCAAGUCUCUUUCUCUCAACAAAGCCAACAAUUAUCUACUAUUGCAAUGUCUAAGCCAAUGCCAAUUCUUUUUAACUUGCUAAGAUGUUUUGGAUCUCUUUUCAUCAAUUUCACGGAUAAUGGUACUAUGAGAGUGUCAAACAGCAAAAUAAACAUUUUCGUACUUCUCCAAUGCGGUCAUGUUGGCCGGAGGGAUUUAAAAAUUCAGGAACGUUCUGUCCAGCGCCUUGCUCGACAAAUAAAGAAAGUACUUGUAUUUGUAUGAAGAUGGCACAGGGAAAGACUGUACAUAGCCACAUUGGCAACAAUCUUAAAAUACAUUUCACUUCUUCAACUUGUGACACAGUGCAAAGAUACCAAGAGUUUGGAUUUUGAUCCUUGCUUAGCAAGGAAUUCUUUUCUUCAGUAGAAACAAUGAUGGAAUAAUAAAAAAAUCUUUGUCACCAAUUCAAAAUGAAAUACAUAAAUUAGAUACAACACAAACUUCUAUUAAAAUUCUUUCCUAAAGUAUAUCUUUGUCAAUCAAAACAUUGGUUUAAUAUAAGUAGUUUUAGAUCAAGAAUAAUUUUUUUUUUGUUUUCCACGGUAUCCCCCAACCCAACAGGUCAAUGACUAAUCUGUCGCGAAUCUGAGCUCUAUUUAAGGGUCUGUCGCUGGCCAAUAGGUUGUUGCAUGCACCUUUAAAUUUUAUUUUUUACUUUAUUAAUAAUUUACAUUGACAAUAUCUAGUAUUCAAGUAAUUCUAUAAUUUUUUUCUUUUAUUGGUUGCCCAUGAUAUCCCCAAUCCGAUAGGACAAUGACUAAUACGUCGCGAAUCUGAGUUUCAUUUAAGGGUCUAUCACUGACCAAUGAAUUGUUGCAUGCAUAAGGCGAGACUCAAACACACUUAAGCCGACGAGUGAGUUAACUAUUCGACUAACCCAAAUUGGUUAGUACUUAGUAAUAAUUCUAUAAGAGAAAUUUUUGGGGCCAACAAUUUUUAAUAUUUUUUUGCCAUCAUUUGAUUAGUAUAAAUACUAAAUUAUUUUUAACAAAUAAAUUUUAUUUAUUUAUGUGUACAAAUUCUAAAAAAUGUGAGUGCAAAAUGUAUAAAUAUAGGUAUAAAUUAUGCUUUGUAGAAUCAGAUCUACUAUCACAAGUUAUCAUGCUGUAUGAACUAGAUGAAGCUUGAUUCUCAUGUUUUCUACAUUCUUCCAGCCUCCAUUACGACCCUUAGUUUUAGGUGGCGAUCACUCAAUAUCAUAUCCAGUUGUUCGAGCCGUCUCUGAAAAACUUGGAGGACCAGUUGAUAUUCUUCAUCUUGAUGCACAUCCUGAUAUCUAUCAUUGUUUUGAAGGAAACAAGUAUUCACAUGCUUCGUCUUUUGCUCGAAUCAUGGAGGGUGGUUAUGCCAGGCGACUAUUGCAGGCAAUUAAUUAUUUUUAUAUUCUAACUAUAUUUUUUAUAGCAUUUAUAUCCAAACAUUAUAAGUUGAUUGUGCAUUUUCAAAAUAUAAUCCAUUGUUAUUGUCUAUGGUCAUAUUGUAUUAUUGUCAUCUCAUUUAAGCACUUAUAUUGACCGUCUUCAUCAGAAUAAUUUUGUUAAUUUGUUUUUGUCACUAACUUGAUUUCUUCAUGAUAUUAUAAUGGCUGAUUUUUCUUUACUCAUGGUGGUGAAUUUUCAAUCUUCCUCCAUGGUUUAUUCUUAGCAAUACAUUCCUCAAUUUAUUUCAGGUUGGUAUAAGAUCAAUAACAACAGAAGGGCGCGAACAAGGCAACAAAUUCGGGGUUGAGCAAUAUGAAAUGCGAACAUUUUCAAGAGAUCGUGAAUAUUUAGAAAACCUGGUCUCUCCCUCUCUCUCUCUCUCUCUCUCCACCUUUAUUUCUCUUAUUUCUUUUCCCCUUAAGACUUUACACACAUACACGCACAACUAUACACCAUAUUUCAUGCAGUGUUUCUAGAUCUUAUUGUAAUUUUGAUGCAAUUGCAAAGACAUAUACUUUGGUACCUUACAAUGAUUACUACUGUUGAUUGAAUGAACUUCUUUGGAUUUCUGUUUCAAAUGGAUGUUUCCGAAUUCCAAGCUGCAAAAUGAUAUUAUUCAUCAAAAACUGUACAAGAUAUUUUGCAAUUUGGUGUUCCUUGGUUUUAAAACAGAGAUUUUCAUUUUGCAGAAACUUGGUGAAGGUGUGAAAGGUGUAUAUGUCUCAAUAGAUGUGGAUUGUCUUGAUCCUGCUUUUGCUCCUGGAGUGUCUCACAUCGAACCGGGAGGUCUCUCUUUCCGCGAUGUUCUCAACAUCCUACACAACCUUCAAGGCGACAUUGUUGCCGCAGACGUGGUUGAAUUCAAUCCGCAACGUGAUACAGUUGACGGUAUGACUGCCAUGGUAGCCGCAAAGUUGGUGAGAGAACUGACUGCCAAGAUUGCAAAAUGAUUAAAU
rnacentral:lncRNA from 1 species